GGUCGGGUGGCGCAAUGGUAGCGCGUUACUUUCCGGUUAAAUCAGAUUUGAUAAUCUCUCAGUUGGUAAAGGCUCUGGGUUCGAGUCCCAGCUCGAUCG